UACGUAGGGUGCGAGCGUUGUCCGGAAUUAUUGGGCGUAAAGAGCUCGUAGGCGGCUUGUCGCGUCGGAUGUGAAAGCCCGGGGCUUAACUCCGGGUCUGCAUUCGAUACGGGCAGGCUAGAGUUCGGUAGGGGAGAUCGGAAUUCCUGGUGUAGCGGUGAAAUGCGCAGAUAUCAGGAGGAGUACCGAUGGCGAAGGCAGGUCUCUGGGCUGACACUGACGCUCAUGCACGAAAGCGUGGGGAGCAAACAGG
rnacentral:rRNA from 1 species